rnacentral:rRNA from 1 species
GCGUGAGUGAUGAAGGCCUUAGGGUUGUAAAGCUCUUUUACCCGGGAUGAUAAUGACAGUACCGGGAGAAUAAGCUCCGGCUAACUCCGUGCCAGCAGCCGCGGUAAUACGGAGGGAGCUAGCGUUGUUCGGAAUUACUGGGCGUAAAGCGCGCGUAGGCGGCUUUGCAAGUUAGAGGUGAAAGCCCGGAGCUCAACUUCGGAAUUGCCUUUAAAACUGCAUCGCUGGAAUCCGGGAGAGGUGAGUGGAAUUCCGAGUGUAGAGGUGAAAUUCGU